rnacentral:rRNA from 1 species
UACGUAGGGAGCAAGCGUUGUCCGGAAUCAUUGGGCGUAAAGCGCGCGUAGGCGGCCCCGUAAGUCCGCUGUGAAAGUCAAAGGCUCAACCUUUGAAAGCCGGUGGAUACUGUGGGGCUAGAGUCCGGAAGAGGCGAGUGGAAUUCCUGGUGUAGCGGUGGAAUGCGCAGAUAUCAGGAGGAACACCGGUGGCGAAGGCGGCUCACUGGACCGGUACUGACGCUGAGGCGCGAAAGCGUGGGGAGCAAACGGG